UGGGGAAUUUUGGACAAUGGGGGAAACCCUGAUCCAGCCAUCCCGCGUGUGCGAUGAAGGCCUUCGGGUUGUAAAGCACUUUUGGCAGGAAAGAAACGUCAUGGGUUAAUACCCCGUGAAACUGACGGUACCUGCAGAAUAAGCAUCGGCUAACUACGUGCCAGCAGCCGCGGUAAUACGUAGGGUGCAAGCGUUAAUCGGAAUUACUGGGCGUAAAGCGUGCGCAGGCGGUUCGGAAAGAAAGAUGUGAAAUCCCAGAGCUCAACUUUGGAACUGCAUUUUAAACUACCGGGCUAGAGUGUGUCAGAGGGAGGUGGAAUUCCGCGUGUAUCAGUGAAAUGCGUAGAUAUGCGGAGGAACACCGAUGGCGAAGGCAGCCUCCUGGGAUAACACUGACGCUCAUGCACGAAAGCGUGGGGAGCAAACAGG
rnacentral:rRNA from 1 species